rnacentral:rRNA from 1 species
UGAGGAAUAUUGGUCAAUGGGCGGAAGCCUGAACCAGCCAAGUCGCGUGAGGGAUUAAGGCCCUAUGGGUCGUAAACCUCUUUUGUCAGGGAGCAAAGGCCUCUCACGUGUGGGAGGUUGGAGAGUACCUGAAGAAAAGCAUCGGCUAACUCCGUGCC